rnacentral:rRNA from 1 species
CUGAGAGGAAGGUCCCCCACAUUGGAACUGAGACACGGUCCAACUCCUACGGGAGGCAGCAGUGAGGAAUAUUGGUCAAUGGGCGAGAGCCUGAACCAGCCAAGUAGCGUGAAGGAUGACUGCCCUAUGGGUUGUAAACUUCUUUUAUAAAGGAAUAAAGUCGGGUAUGGAUACCCGUUUGCAUGUACUUUAUGAAUAAGGAUCGGC